UCGAAAGGGAGUAUUGAAGAAGCUUGCUUUAGAGAUACUUUAGUGGCGGACGGGUGAGUAACGCGUGAGGAGCUGUCCUAUGCAGGGGGACAACAGUUGGAAACGACUGCUAAUACCCCAUAAGCCGAGAGGUAAAAGGARYKAUCCGGCAGAGGAGGUACUCGCGUCCUAUCAGCUAGUAGGUGAGGUAACGGCUCACCUAGGCGAAGACGGGUAGCCGGCCUGAGAGGGYCGAACGGCCACACUGGAACUGAGAUACGGUCCAGACUCCUACGGGAGGCAGCAGUGGGGAAUAUUGGGCAAUGGGGGGAACCCUGACCCAGCGACGCCGCGUGGGUGAAGAAAUCCCUCGGGAUGUAAAGCCCUGUUGUAUGGGAAGAGCAGAAGACGGUACCAUACGAGGAAGCCCCGGCAAACUACGUGCCAGCAGCCGCGGUAAUACGUAGGGGGCAAGCGUUGUCCGGAAUUACUGGGCGUAAAGCGCACGCAGGCUGAAUUAUAAGUCGGUAGUCAAAURCGGAGGCUCAACUUCCGUAUAUCUAUCGAUACUGUAAAUCUAG
rnacentral:rRNA from 1 species